rnacentral:rRNA from 1 species
UACGUAGGCAGCGAGCGUUGUUCGGAAUUACUGGGCGUAAAGAGUGCGUAGGCGGUGCUCUAAGUCUGUUGUGAAAUCUCCCGGCUCAACUGGGAGGGUGCGGCGGAAACUGGAGUGCUAGGGUGAGGGAGAGGUAAGCGGAAUUCCUGGUGUAGCGGUGAAAUGCGUAGAUAUCAGGAGGAACACCUGCGGUGUAGACAGUUUACUGGACCACGACUGACGCUGAGGCGCGAAAGCGUGGGUAGCAAACAGG